rnacentral:rRNA from 1 species
AUUGAACGCUGGCGGCAUGCCUUACACAUGCAAGUCGAACGGUAACAGGUUAAGCUGACGAGUGGCGAACGGGUGAGUAAUGUAUCGGAACGUGCCCAGUCGUGGGGUAUAACUGCUCGUAAGAGCAGCUAAUACCGCAUACGACCUGAGGGGGAAAGCGGCGGAUCGCAAGACCUCGCGCGAUUGGAGCGGCCGAUAUCGGAUUAGGUGGUUGGUGAGGUAAAGGCUCACCAGGCGGACGAUCUGUAGCUGGUCUGAGAGGACGACGAGCCACACUGGGACGGAGACACGGCCCAGACUCCUACGGGAGGCAGCAGUGGGGAAUUUUGGACAAUGGGCGCAAGCCUGAUCCAGCCAUGCCGCGUGCGGGAAGAAGGCCUUCGGGUUGUAAACCGCUUUUGUCAGGGAAGAAAAGGUUCUGGCUAAUACCUGGGACUCAUGACGGUACCUGAAGAAUAAGCACCGGCUAACUACGUG